GGCGAGGUAGCUCAGUUGGUUAGAGCGCAGGCUUCAUAAGCCUGAAGUCACGAGUUCAAGUCUCGUCCUCGCUACCA
rnacentral:tRNA from 1 species